CAUGCAUGCCUACGAAUAGAAGAGCUAUCUCUUUGAAUCUGCGAACGGCUCCGCAAACCAGUUGUAAACUAUCGCAAGCAAGCUCCGGUGGUAUUCGCAAGGGUAUCACCGGGGUAAUAAGGAUAACCCUGGUAAUUCUGAGGCUAAUACGAGACCGUAACCCCUAUCUAACCGGUAACGGGAGGGUGGGGAACGUGUAAUACAGCGCAAAGAAUGCUGGGAAUGGGUGCACGUUCAGACCACCAUACCAAACAGUGGUCGUAGCCUACCGGCGAAGGCUUCCUGGGUGGCUCUUGCUGUGUGCUUCUGACCUAUCAACUAGAUGGCAGCGUAACGGACAUGCUAUGGUUACAACGGGUACAGAGGAUAAGGGUUCGAUCCUGGAGAGUGGGCCUGAGAGAUUGCUCACACUUCUAAGGAAGGCAGCAGGCGCGCAACGUUCCCCUUGGGCAAUGCUCGAGGGCGUUAGGGGACAUAUGAAUGCCUGCCUCAUGGUGGGCAAUUCAAAUGGGUCUGUUGUAAACAGCCUCUCGAGUAACAAUUAGAGGACAAGUCUGGUGCCAGCACCCGCGGUAAUUCCAGCUCUAAUAGCAUACGUUAAAGUUGUUGCGGUUAAAACGCUCGUAGUCGGCUUCAGAUCUUCAUAUUUCCGAGCUCGGUUCCGGUUCGCUGCCCCGGUCAAGGGCACGCCGGGUGCUGGGCGAGGUAGGACGUCGAUCAAACGCGUCCCAGGCUGUCCCUCCGGGGUCACAGGGUCGGAGUUUAGGCUCCGAUUCGGUUUGGAACGCCAUUUACCAUGACUAAACUGGCGUGAUCAAAGCAUGUCGACCGACACGUACAGCACAGCAUGGCAUAAUCACACCGGAACAGGCCUUUUGCGGGGUUUGGAUCGGUAAAAGCGACAGGGGUGUUCGAGGGUGACCGAAUUGCGGGGCGAGUGGUGAAAUACGUUGACCCCCGCAAGUCGACCAAAGGCGAAAGCAGUCAUCAAGGGCACGCCCGUUGAUCAAGAGCGAAAGUUAAGGGUUCGAAGACGAUCAGAUACCGUCGUAGUCUUAACUAUAAAUGAUACAGACCAGAGAUAGGGUACUGUCCAUCUCGACUCCUCCUGAAUCUUGGAGAAAUCAGAGUCUUUGGGUUCUGGGGGGAGUAUGGUCGCAAGGCUGAAACUUAAAGGAAUUGACGGAAGGGCACACAAAGAGUGGAACCUGCGGCUUAAUUUGACUCAACACGGGAAAACUCACCAGGUCCAGAUACACGUAUGAAAGUCAAGCUGAAAGACUUUACUCAAUGAUGUAAGUGGUGGUGCAUGGUCGUUCGUAGUUCGUGGAUUGAUUUGUCUGGUCUAUUCCGAUAACGAGCGAGACCCCAACGUUCCUAAUAGGGGUGACAGCCCGGUUCGUCGCGAGACGGGUUAGCAGUCACCUAGGAUUAGCUUCUUAGACGUAUCAGGGCCGAUAAGGUCCUUGAAAUGGGUUAAUAACAGGUCAGUCAUGCCCUUAGAUGUUCUGGGCCGCACGCGCGUUACAAUGGCAUGUAAAAAAAGUGCUGCAAAAGGUGUCCCCGGGGCUGAAAAGUCCUGGUAACCCUUAGUCCCUGCCUUGACUGGGACAGAUCAUUGCAAUUAUUGGUCUCAAACGAGGAAUUUUUAGUAAUCGCAGGUCACUAACCUGCGAUGAAUGCGUCCCUGCCCUUUGUACACACCGCCCGUCGCUGCUACCGAUUGGGUUUUACAGUUACGCGUUCAGAGGCGGCUUUUCCCUGCUGCUUUCGGGUAGCAGAUAGGCUGCCGAAGUCCUAAUUACUGUACGGCCUAGAGA
rnacentral:rRNA from 1 species